UCAAGAGGAGAGCUAAGACUUUGGUGGAAACAUGCAUCGGAAGGAUAUUGCUUUAAUCUGCGGUGGCGCGAGGCCACAGGGGCUCAUGGGGCCCGUGGUCUAGAUUAUGUGUGAUCGGCUGCCAUGAUCGCUUUGCGCCACUUCUUACCAGAGCACCUCUUUGGCCAGUGCUGUCGGAGGGAUGCAUCGCUUCUAUGUGUCACGGAACAGACACUGGUCUUGCAUAUCCUUUUUUGCACUUUUCAAGUGAGAUCAAGCUGACUCCAGUUUGGCUGAAAAUUUCCUAAGGGAGGAAAUUCAGUCUACUGUUUUGGUACAGAUACAUGGAUGGUAAACCUUU